UACGAAGGGGACUAGCGUUGUUCGGAAUUACUGGGCGUAAAGCGCACGUAGGCGGAUCUGUAAGUCAGGGGUGAAAUCCCGGGGCUCAACCUCGGAACUGCCUUUGAUACUGCAAAUCUCGAGUCCGGAAGAGGUGAGUGGAAUUCCUAGUGUAGAGGUGAAAUUCGUAGAUAUUAGGAAGAACACCAGUGGCGAAGGCGGCUCACUGGUCCGGUACUGACGCUGAGGUGCGAAAGCGUGGGGAGCAAACAGG
rnacentral:rRNA from 1 species